UAUCAUCCAGCACAAUGGUGUCCUCUUACUAGAAUUAGCAUCUGCUGGAUCACUGACUGCAUUUCCACAGAACACAGAACAAAGCGGUUAAGAUCCAGGGCAUUGAGCCACGCCUUAAAUCGAAGCAUUGUCCACCUUCUAACCCCAAGCAGACACCAAGAGGGAGCCAACAACAGGGAUCCUGAGAGGCAAAGGGAGUCCAAGGAGCUAUGGGGAGAACUUUCCAUCUUUGGGGAUGAGAAUGUGAAGCAUCAAUUUAUGUGAAAACUACUGCUUGAUUAAAGACAAGAUUUUUGAAAGCCAUCCUGUAAAACACCCUGUCCCACACAUUGUUAAAGAUCUGGUACCUGAAACCACAGUGCCGAAAGUAGUCAAGUACGACUAUGCCUGAAGCCCAGAAGUGUGGUUUUCCACAGUGAGGAAGAUUUGCAUUGUGAAGCAGAUGUCAGAUAGAAAAAGCAAAACAGAAAUAUGAAGACAUUGUAAGAAUUUUGGGGUGAUUUCUGACCUGCUCAGUUUCCAUCAGGGCAUCCCAGGGUUUUUUGCCUUCUCAAUUUUGAACAGCAUAGCAUUUAAAUGAUCAUUUUUGUUUCUCUCCGCUGCUCCCCAAUCUAAACAACAAAAGAAGGAAUUUAACCUCAUAUCCUCGCUCUGAAAUUAGCUCUAUUGUCAAAAGAUGACAGCUGUAUCCUGAUUUCAAGAAUUUCAUGUUGGAAUAAAACAGCAUUUUUGAAACCAUUGUGUUAUUUCAAACAGAUCUGUAAUGGUCCCUGAGCAAACCAUUUUCAGAAGACUUGGGUGAGAUCACGUGAUGAUGGAGAAGGUCACCAGAGCCAGGCACCUUGUCCACACACAGGGCUUCCUUCCUCCAUGACUUAACCCAGAGAUGUAGACGGCGGGGUCAACAUUAAAUACCACAAACAGGCAAAAGAGCUUCAGACAGAAGGAUCAUCUUCCUGAAGACAAAAUAAUCAUCAUCCUUUGAGGGCAAAGUGGGCAACGUUAUGGGUAUCUUUUGUUUUGGAAUGGGACUCUACACUAUGGGAUUUCUAGUGGAGAGGACAGUUACCAGAGUCAGCACUGGAGGAACUUGUUUGGAAUUGAGCCUUGAUUCUGAAAAGAAAGUAUCAGAGGGCAGCAUUUGAACUGGCAUUUAAGGUGUCAACCAGGGGGAAUUUGGUGCCGACCAGUAAAAGGGGAGAAUCAAAAACAGAAGCUCCAUCACCAGGGACAGGGCCAGACUCCUGACUAGAAACUCAGUGGAUGUGCUGAAUCAUUCGGAUACUUUCCAGAAAAUUAUUUUACCUACUCAGAAGGCUGGGCAUCAGCCAAAACUGUCUGGAAAACCACAAGGAAAGACAUUUCCAUGAAGUAACUAGAGUUUUGGGCUUCUACUCUAGAGGAAUAUAAGAGGAACUUUCUUUAAAGAGUAUGCAGGUGGUUCCUUUUAAGCUCACCUGUCUGGUUUUUCAAACAGAUCAAGGGGUGAUGGCAGGGAAACGUCUCCCCUGGAAAUCUCACCCCUCCAUUUGCUAAAGAGAAGGAGCUUCAAUCCCUUGACAGGAUGAUGAAACAAUAAUAAACUGAUGUGACCAAGUCUCAUGCCAGCAGUCCUACCUGUGGCCCACCCUUCUCGUGGCCAACAAUGGCUUUUCUUAAAUAAAUAAAAAUCAAGAUUUGUACCACUCCUGCUGUAA